GGCGUGCUAUACAUGCAGUCGAGCGAACAGAUAAGGAGCUUGCUCCUUUGACGUUAGCGGCGGACGGGUGAGUAACACGUGGAUAACCUACCUAUAAGACUGGGAUAACUUCGGGAAACCGGAGCUAAUACCGGAUAACAUAUUGAACCGCAUGGUUCAAUAGUGAAAGGCGGCUUUGCUGUCACUUAUAGAUGGAUCCGCGCCGUAUUAGCUAGUUGGUAAGGUAACGGCUUACCAAGGCAACGAUACGUAGCCGACCUGAGAGGGUGAUCGGCCACACUGGAACUGAGACACGGUCCAGACUCCUACGGGAGGCAGCAGUAGGGAAUCUUCCGCAAUGGGCGAAAGCCUGACGGAGCAACGCCGCGUGAGUGAUGAAGGUCUUCGGAUCGUAAAACUCUGUUAUCAGGGAAGAACAAAUGUGUAAGUAACUGUGCACAUCUUGACGGUACCUGAUCAGAAAGCCACGGCUAACUACGUGCCAGCAGCCGCGGUAAUACGUAGGUGGCAAGCGUUAUCCGGAAUUAUUGGGCGUAAAGCGCGCGUAGGCGGUUUUUUAAGUCUGAUGUGAAAGCCCACGGCUCAACCGUGGAGGGUCAUUGGAAACUGGAAAACUUGAGUGCAGAAGAGGAAAGUGGAAUUCCAUGUGUAGCGGUGAAAUGCGCAGAGAUAUGGAGGAACACCAGUGGCGAAGGCGACUUUCUGGUCUGUAACUGACGCUGAUGUGCGAAAGCGUGGGGAUCAAACAGGAUUAGAUACCCUGGUAGUCCACGCCGUAAACGAUGAGUGCUAAGUGUUAGGGGGUUUCCGCCCCUUAGUGCUGCAGCUAACGCAUUAAGCACUCCGCCUGGGGAGUACGACGG
rnacentral:rRNA from 1 species